rnacentral:rRNA from 1 species
GACGAACGCUGGCGGCGUGCUUAACACAUGCAAGUCGAACGGAAAGGCCCUGCUUUUGGGGGGUGCUCGAGUGGCGAACGGGUGAGUAACACGUGAGUAACCUGCCCUUGACGUUGGGAUAACUUCAGGAAACUGGGGCUAAUACCGGAUAGGAGCUCCUGCGGCAUGGUGGGGGUUGGAAAGUUUCGGCGGUUGGGGAUGGACUCGCGGCUUAUCAGCUUGUUGGUUGGGUAGUGGCUUACCAAGGCUUUGACGGGUAGCCGGCCUGAGAGGGUGACAGGCCACAUUGGGACUGAGAUACGGCACAGACUCCUACGGGAGGCAGCAGUGGGGAAUAUUGCACAAUGGGCGGAAGCCUGAUGCAGCAACGCCGCGUGCGGGAUGACGGCAUUCGGGUUGUAAACCGCUUUCGCCUGUGAUGAAGCGUGAGUGACGGUAAUGGGUAAAGAAGCCCCGGCUAACUACGUG